rnacentral:lncRNA from 1 species
CUAAACUUUAAUAGGGUCACAUCGGAUGUUCGGAUGCUAAUUAGGAGGAUUAAACUUGAGCUAAUUACAAAAUUAAUUGUACAGAUGGAGUCUAAUUCGCGAAACGAAUCUAUUAAGGCUAAUUAAUCCAUCAUUAGCAAAUGGUUACUGUAGCACCAUAUUGUCAAAUCAUGGACUAAUUAGGCUUAAUAGAUUGGUGUCGCGAAUUAGACUCCAUCUAUGCAAUUAGUUUUGUACUUAGACUACGUUUAAUACUCCUAAUUAGUAUCAAAUAUCCAAUGUGACAGGUGCUAAAGUUUAGCAGGGUGUUUUCAAACAGGCUCUAAGGGCAAGUACAUUGGUGUCGUCUAAUAAGCGGUCUCAUGCAUUGACACGUAAUCUUGAGACAAUUUAACAGGCAACUUGUACAAUGGGUUGUCCUAUAAGUUGUCUGGUAGUGGUAUAUAAUUUCUUAAUUUGUGCAUAAGAAAAAUAAAAUAUUAUGAGUUGCAUGGCAACAAUAACUCGUACAAUGGUGGUUAAGUUGUCUCGUAGUCCUACAAUUUAGCUCAUGAGGUGGUUGUUUCACGAAGCAACGAUCUCUUUCUCUCUCCUCUCUCUCUCCUCCACAUCAUCAAAAAUCCUACAUGGCACUGUAUGAGACGAACUAUGAGACCGUUGACGUGUAGUAAUGUACUUGCCCUAAAUUCAUUUUAGAACUCCGCGUGUCGUAUUGCAACGUUAAUGAACGACCUACUCG